UACAGAGGGGGCAAGCGUUGUUCGGAAUUACUGGGCGUAAAGGGCGCGUAGGUGGCCUUCUAAGUUGAACGUGAAAUCCCUGGGCUCAACCCAGGAACUGCGUCCAAGACUGGGAGCUUGAAUCCGGGAGAGGGAUGCGGAAUUCCAGGUGUAGCGGUGAAAUGCGUAGAUAUCUGGAGGAACACCGGUGGCGAAGGCGGCAUCCUGGACCGGUAUUGACACUGAGGCGCGAAAGCCAGGGGAGCAAACGGG
rnacentral:rRNA from 1 species